CCAAACUUGGUCAUUUAGAGGAAGUAAAAGUCGUAACAAGGUCUCCGUUGGUGAACCAGCGGAGGGAUCAUUACUGAGUUUACAGACUCCCAAACCCCAGUGUGAACGCUACCUACAUGUUGCUUCGGCGGGACGCCCCCCGGGGGCACGGCCGCCAGGCCGCCCGGGGACGCAGGCGCCCGCCGGAGGAAACCCAAACUCUUGUCUUCACGCAGUGGCAUCAUUCUGAGUUUACACAAUACAAAUGAAUCAAAACUUUCAACAACGGAUCUCUUGGUUCUGGCAUCGAUGAAGAACGCAGC
rnacentral:misc_RNA from 1 species